rnacentral:rRNA from 1 species
CUUGUCCUACGGGACGCAGCAGUGGGGAAUAUUGGGCAAUGGGCGCAAGCCUGACCCAGCAACGCCGCGUGAAGGAAGAAGGCUUUCGGGUUGUAAACUUCUUUUCUGAGGGACGAUAGUGACGGUACCUCAGGAAUAAGCCACGGCUAACUACGUGCCAGCAGCCGCGGUAAUACGUAGGUGGCAAGCGUUGUCCGGAAUUACUGGGUGUAAAGGGAGCGUAGGCGGGAAGCCAAGUCAGCUGUGAAAACUACGGGCUUAACCUGUAGACUGCAGUUGAAACUGGCUUUCUUGAGUGAAG